CACCCAGAGACGAGGAAGGACGUAGUAAUAGACGAAAUGCUUUAGGAAGUUGAAAAUAAGCAUAGAUUCGGAGAUUCCUGAAUAAGGCAACCUUUCGAACUGCUGCUGCAUCCAUGGGCAGGCAAGAGGCAACCUGGCAAACUAAAACAUCUUAAUAGCCAGAGGAAAAGAAAGUAAAAGCGAUUCCCGUAGUAGCGACGAGCAAAAUGAGAGCAGCCUAAACCGUAAAAACGAGGUUGUGGGAGAGCAAUACAAGCAUCGUGCUGCUAGGNG
rnacentral:rRNA from 1 species